rnacentral:rRNA from 1 species
UUGCCACGACUUCGUCUCCGUCACCUCCCACGGCCAGGCUAAUUUGCAAAACCCACUCCAUGCAGACGGGCGGUGUGUGGCUACCCGGGAACGCGGGAUCCACCGCGACGGCGCUGGGAUCCGCCCCGGACUUCAGGCAGCCGAGUGCCAGUAGAACCGGGAGAUCCGGACUACGAUCGGCGCUCACCGCGGGCUGGCUUUUACCCUCUGUCCCCGACCAUUGUAUGACGCGAAGUCCCACUGGGCGGGCCAUGAGGACUCCGACGUCAUCCCCAAUUUUUCCUCCGGUUUGUCGCCGGCAGUCUCGGGAGCGCCUCUUUCGUGCUAAAUUCAAUGACGGGCGGGCCGCCGCCGCGGACUUGCAACAUUCGACACGAGCUGACGACAGCGUGGCUACCUGUGUCCAUGUUCCCAGAACUCCCAGUCUCUCUGUUCGGGAUUCCAGACAUACCGCGGUAGGCAUGUGUUUUCAUGUUGCACCGAGUCCAUCCAUAUCCUGUUUGCGUGGUCCCCGUUUUUGGUUUUAAUCUUGCGAUUCCCAGGCGGUCUCACGCGUUAGCUGCGCUAUUUAGCGCCUCGAAGGCCUAACAGCUGUUGACAUCGUUUAGCGGACUACCAGGGCAUCUAAUCUCUGUUUGCCCUGUUUUUCGUACGAGCGUCGUUAACUUGAGGAUGCAGGCUCUCGCCAUCGGUGUCUUCUCCGCAUAUCUACGCAUUUCACUACAGCGACGCGGCUCCAUUCCUCCUCUGACAUUACUCUGCCGUGUUGCCAAACCAGCGGCUCGGGAUUACAUCUCUCUCUCUCCGCGCACCGCUUACGCCCAGUAAUCUGAUUAACGCCUUGCACUCUGGCGUAUUACCGCGGCUGCUGGCACGCCGGUGUCCUGCAGGCACCGCUGUUGCACGGGUAUCCCGCGCCGCUUCUUCUGCCGUGCGCUUUACAACCCGAAGGUUUUCAUCGCACACUGAUCAGGUUUCCAUCGUCCGCGCGCCUCACUGCACGCCCCGUGGGGCUGCGUCUCGUCCCAGUGUGGCUGGUCAGUCUCGACAACAGGCGGAUCGUCGUUUGGUGAGCUGCUGCCCCACCAAUAAUCUGAUAUCGGGCUGCCUGCGCGAGCUUCCCGCUUCCCCGAAGGCGUAUGUAUACAGCGCUUUCGCGUAGCAUCCCCGCCAGGCACGUUCCACCACCCGCCUGCCACUCGCCACCAGACCGAAGUCUGCGCUGCCGUCGACGCCGCACGCGGGCUGGAGCCAGGGACCGCAUCCCCCGGUUACUACCCGGGAGCACUGCGGCAGUAACAGAGGGUUUGAUUCUGGCCUAGAUUGAACGCUGGCGGGAUGCUUUACACAUGCAAGUCGAACGGCAGCACGGACUUCGGUCUGGUGGCGAGUGGCGAACGGGUGAGUAAUGUAUCGGAACGUGCCUAGUAGCGGGGGAUAACUACGCGAAAGCGUAGCCAAUACCGCAUACGCCCUUCGGGGGAAAGCGGGGACCUUCGGGCCUCGCACUAUUAGAGCGGCCGAUAUCGGAUUAGCUAGUUGGUGGGGUAACGGGCUCACCAAGGCGACGAUCCGUAGCUGGUUUGAGAGGACGACCAGCCACACUGAGACACGGCCCAGACUCCUACGGGAGGCAGCAGUGGGGAAUUUUGGACAAUGGGGGGAAACCCUGAUCCAGCCAUCCCGCGUGUGCGAUGAAGGCUCUCGGGUUGUAAAGCACUUUUGGCAGGAAGAAACGGCACGGGAUAAUACUCCCGUGCAACUGACGGUACCUGCAGAAUAAGCACCGGCUAACUACGUGCCAGCAGCCGCGGUAAUACGUAGGGUGCAAGCGUUAAUCGGAAUUACCGGGCGUAAAGCGUGCGCAGGCGGUUCGGAAAGAAAGAUGUGAAAUCCCAGAGCUUAACUUUGGAACUGCAUUUUUAAUCACCGAGCUAGAGUGUGUCAGAGGGAGGUGGAAUUCCGCGUAGCAGUGAAAUGCGUAGAUAUGCGGAGGAACACCGAUGGCGAAGGCAGCCUCCUGGGAUAACACUGACGCUCAUGCACGAAAGCGUGGGGAGCAAACAGGAUUAGAUACCCUGGUAGUCCACGCCCUAAACGAUGUCAACUAGCUGUUGGGGCCUUCGGGCUUUGCAGCGCAGCUAACGCGUGCAGUUGACCGCCUGGUGGGGAGUACGGUCGCAAGAUUAAAACUCAAAGGAAUUGACGGGGACCCGCACAAGCGGUGGAUGAUGUGGAUUAAUUCGAUGCAACGCGAAAAACUUACCUACCCUUGACAUGUCUGGAAUCCCGAAGAGAUUUGGGAGUGCUCGCAAGAGAACCGAACACAGGUGCUGCAUGGCUGUCGUCAGCUCGUGUCGUGAGAUGUUGGGUUAAGUCCCCGCAACGAGCGCAACCCUUGUCAUUAGUUGCUACGAAAGGGCACUCUGGCCGAGACUGCCGGCGACAAAACCGAGGAAGGUGGGGAUGACGUCAAGUCCUCAUGGCCCUUAUGGGUAGGGCUUCACACGCUGGCACAAUGGUCGGGACAGAGGGUCGCCAACCCGCGAGGGGGAGCCAAUCCCAGAAACCCGAUCGUAGUCCGGAUCGCGUCUUCAAACUCGACUGCGUGAAGUCGGAAUCGCUAGUAAUCGCGGAUCAGCAUGUCGCGGUGAAUACGUUCCCGGUUCUGUACACACCGCCCGUCACACCAUGGGAGUGGGUUUUACCAGAAGUAGUUAGCCUAACCGGGUAAGGAGUGGGCGAUUAACACGGUAGGAUUCAUGACUGGGGUGAAGUCGUACAUUUCGUACCCCAGCCAUUACCUGAUG